rnacentral:rRNA from 1 species
AGAACGAACGCUGGCGGCAUGCCUAACACAUGCAAGUCGAACGAAGGCUUCGGCCUUAGUGGCGCACGGGUGCGUAACGCGUGGGAAUCUGCCCUUGGGUUCGGAAUAACGUCGGGAAACUGACGCUAAUACCGGAUAAUAUCGCGAGAUCAAAGAUUUAUCGCCUGAGGAUGAGCCCGCGUAGGAUUAGCUAGUUGGUGGGGUAAAGGCCUACCAAGGCGACGAUCCUUAGCUGGUCUGAGAGGAUGAUCAGCCACACUGGGACUGAGACACGGCCCAGACUCCUACGGGAGGCAGCAGUGGGGAAUAUUGGACAAUGGGCGAAAGCCUGAUCCAGCAAUGCCGCGUGAGUGAUGAAGGCCUUAGGGUUGUAAAGCUCUUUUACCCGGGAUGAUAAUGACAGUACCGGGAGAAUAAGCCCGGCUAACUCCGUGCCAGCAGCCGC